UACGGGGGGAGCAAGCGUUGUUCGGAUUUACUGGGCGUAAAGGGCGCGUAGGCGGCGUAACAAGUCACUUGUGAAAUCUCCGGGCUUAACCCGGAAACUGCCAUUGAUACUAUUUGUCUUGAAUACUGUGGAGGUCAGCGGAAUAUGUCAUGUAGCGGUGAAAUGCUUAGAUAUGACAUAGAACACCAAUUGCGAAGGCAGCUGGCUACACAAAUAUUGACACUGAGGCACGAAAGCGUGGGGAUCAAACAGG
rnacentral:rRNA from 1 species